rnacentral:tRNA from 1 species
UCAAUGGUAGUCUAGUGGUUAGGACUUUGUGCUUUCACUGCUGCGGCCCAGGUUCAAUCCCUGGUCUGAGAA